rnacentral:rRNA from 1 species
CGCCUAACCAUGCAAGUCGAACGCAGUAGCAAUACUGAGUGGCAAACGGGUGAGUAUAAUGUGGGAAUCUGCCUUUUGGUUUGGAAUAACACGGGGAAACUUGUGCUAAUACCGAAUAAGCCCUUACGGGGAAAGUUUUAACGCCGAAAGAUGAGCCUGCACUUGAUUAGCUAGUUGGUAAGGUAAAAGCUUACCAAGGCAACGAUCAAUAGCUGUUCUUAGAGGAAGACCAGCCACAUUGGGACUGAGACACGGCCCAGACUCCUACGGGAGGCAGCAGUGGGGAAUCUUGCACAAUGGGGGAAACCCUGAUGCAACGAUGCCGCGUGAGUGAAGAAGGCCUUUGGGUUGUAAAACUCUUUCGUCGGGGAAGAAAAUGACUGUACCCGAAUAAGAAGGUCCGGCUAACUU